UUUAUUGAGAGUUUGAUCCUGGCUCAGGACGAACGCUGGCGGCGUGCCUAACACAUGCAAGUCGAGCGGAGCCAUCCGACGGAU
rnacentral:rRNA from 1 species